rnacentral:tRNA from 1 species
GAUGGUGUAGCUCAAUGGUGAGCACUUGUCUACCAUGCACAAGGCCCUGGGUUUGGUCCCCAGCACCACCA